GGUGGAGAGCUCCAAAGGGAUCGCAUUGAUCUAAUGUUGAUAUGGAUUGUUGAAUCAAGUGUCAUGGUAUGGUCAUUUGUUGAUUCAGUUUGCUCAUUGGAUCAUGCGAUCCCUUCGGAAUUUUCCAU
rfam:Gossypium raimondii Chr06_contig_419, whole genome shotgun sequence.